CUGAUGGUUAGAGAACCUUGCACUGAAGCUCUGCCACAGAAAGCUUUUAUGUUCGUGAGUAACGUCACUUGUAGGAAUUAAUCCAAGAAACAUGAGUCUAUGGUGCAGGCCAACAAAGUCUGCUUCAGGGUUGGCAGGUGGUAAAACCAAGGUGGGCGGUGUAUGAAUAUAUCCACCAGAUAAAGAUAGGUAUGAAUUCACUCAGGGCUUGAAUUCCAGGGCUGUAGCAGCUGAAGCUCUUGCACAUUAUUACAGCUAAAUAUAACUGGAAAAUCAAUUACUCACCCCCUUCCUCCCUCUUAUUGGGAAAUCCUCAAUCUGACUGAGGCUUGGAAGUGUGGACAGUCUCCAGCCUAACACAUACCCUGAGGUACUCAGCAGAAGUGAAGAUCGCUGCUGGGUCUUGGAGGAACAAAUCAUACAAAAGAAGGGGAUAACCAUCAAAUCUCUGAAGUUUUCACAGUAAAACGCUUGUUCUGGACGUGAGACUCCCAGCUGCAGUCAGCCCUCAAGCACUGCAGCGUUGGUGCAGUGGGAUACAGGUACCAGCCACUGGCACUGGAGGCUUCUCUGCGCUUCUGGUGGCCAAGGGAGCCCCAAGGGCCUGGCCACAGCUCUGAAUGAAACUCGGGAAACUCAACACUUGCUGUAAGUGUGCUAGCCGACUUCUCAACAGCAUCUACAGACCUCAAAGACUCAUUGGUGAAUCAGCUUUUUCUUUUAUGGGAGGGAGAAACAGAGAAGGCAGACAAGCAACUUUCCUGAGUAGCAUCCUCAGGGGAAGAAGUCAGUUCUUCCAUACCUCAUUUAAUAGCAGCACUUUCAGCUGAUAUUCUUAAAAACCCAACAGAUUUGCAUUUCCAAUUGUGCAAACUCACUUUAAUGUAAAAAUCCAACCCACCACAGCUCAUGCAACUAAGAGCUGUCUCACACAACCCUGAUGCCUCAUGCUGGGGUCAUCUGCACAAGUCUGGGAGAAAGCGCUAUCUGUGAAAAUCUAUUUGCUCUGCUCCAAAGUUGUUCCUCCAGGGUGGGCUAAGUGGGCACGAUGCAUCUUGGUGCCCUGCAGAAGUUCUGACACACCUCACACGGAGCAUUAGGGAGGGUGGGAGCUGCUUCAAGUCUCACAGCAGGGGUCCUGAAAAAUGAUUCAGUCCUGAGAAUAGGAUCCAGCACUACUCUGUGUUGUUUGUUUGUCCAUGCUGAAACCUAACGCGGUUGCUGUUUGCUAAGGGGGAAACGCCUAACUCACACCUUUUGAAAUAAAUGCAGAAGCUCACAUGCUUUAAUGAGCUGGCAGAAGAAAUCCUAAGCUUUUUCAGUGCUGUGAUAGAGGCUGAGCUUCAUACUCCACGCGGCAGGUGACUGCUUGAGAGCAACACUGAUGCUUUACCCUUGGUCACUUUUCUAGAGAUGCUGCAAGAAAGUCUGUAGGCCUGGAAGGGCAGCGAGAGAGCAGACAUCCUGAACUUUGAAAUCAUUCCCUGGCACAGGGUCAGGGGAGCAAUUUCGGCCUAAGGCAGGGACUGAUUUCUCGUGGUUUAGCUUUUCAAGGGCUGUUUUUCAAAACCACUAGCCCUGCAGGCUGUGCCGGAAUAAUGUUCUCACCUGAAAUCUCUGCAUGCCCAGUGUCACCCACCUAGGGGGUCAAGUACUGUCCGCUGCUCCUGACAAUCUGUCCAUACCAUCUCUAACGGGAGGCCAGAAACAAGUUUCUGAGAAAGUACCCCGUAAGCUCCCUGAGGAAAAGAUGUGAUUUUCCCCUGCUGAUAUCCACUCAAACCUGCUCAAUGAUCCAAUCAGAUGAGAUGAAAACAUAGAACGGGAGGUUAUGAUGGCAGCUGGAAAGACGCUUGUGUCCAGAACGUAUCUGACAAAACAGAUGUUUCACAGACAAUAGGCAAAGUGUUUCCAUUAUGUCAACGCAGCUGAGUCUGUGGAAUUGUCUGGUUUAGCUUUUAGAUUCUCUGAGGAUGCUUAUCUCCAACCACAGCCAUAAUAACCCACCACCCGCCUAGCAGGUUUUAGAGUCAGAUAACUAUUUUGAAGCAUUCUCCAAUAUUGUUUCAAGGUAGUUGAAAGUUAUGCACUCAGGCAUAUGCAGAUCAGCUAAAGCCAGUAAGUAGCUCGAGUGGUUUUAUGAAGGUCCAGAUAAAACAUACUGUUUUAUAAAACUUAUGAUUUGGCCUGAACAGGAACAGUGGAUUUGAUGCGGAGACUAUCAGGACUUUGAUCUUUUCUGUGCUGUAGUCAGUUGGUCCUAAUGGUAUCUUCUGGCCUUAAAAAUUUAUGGAUCACGUGAGCAGGACAAACUGUUUUAUCUAUACCUAAAGUUUUAAGUGAUAGAAUUGAAUCCUUACAACUGUAAUCCUGUGAAUCAAAUGGAUGUUUGGUAUUUCCUCUUUCUAUCCACAUUUUUGAGAGCUGCUGUUCAAAACCAGCUGAACAAAUAAGGGCAAUACUCGUUCAGCCCACUGUUUGUUUUGGGAACCAUAGAAGGAAGGUCAUGAUCAGAGAAAAAAAUAUGAAAGAUGCAAUUUUAGAUUAGAAAAAAACAGAAGAGAGACUUUAUUCUGAAACUUGUAACCCUUUCAGAAAUAGCUCUUGGGAAUAAUUUAAGCACAAAAAAAACUCUGAUAUGGAGUUGAUGAUAUAAAGUAUCAUGAGGGAGCAGUGUCCUGUGGGAGCAUAAACCUUUUAUCUUGGAAAUCCUGCCAUGGCUAAGCAAAAACUGCCUUCCUACAUGAGUUUACAGAGUUUACAUAUAACAAGAGAGAUAAAUAUCCUAUGACUAGUGAUGUAUCCAUUUACAUAUCACUCCAAUCAUAAAUAAAAUUGGUUUCCUGUGCAAAAACAGAUUUAUGCACAUGCUUAAAAUAUAUGCUUAUGGGGUCUGCCCCACCACUUCUGAUACAGAAAUUACACUGCAUGAAUUUGAUGAUUCACGGCAAUGUUCCUGUAAUGAGGCCAUCUCCAUCUGUCUAAUGAUUCCUGCUAGUAGGACAGACGUAAUUUAUGAUUACCUAAUUUAGAUCAGAAAAUGCUCUAUUUACUCCAGAGGAAAAAAAACUUUUAACUCUGCCAUACCUGAAAUUUAACAAUGCCUGCCAGUCCCUCAGUCUUACAAAGCCACUAACACCUAAAGCACUGGAUACAGACUCACGUUCCUUUCCUACACUUAGAGCAUCACUUGGUGAUCCUUGGGGGUCCCCUGCCAACUCAGGGUAUUGUAUGUAUGUAUGUAUGUAAUCAGAAUUUUAAUAAUCCAUUAAUAUUUUUAAUUAAAUGAGCUAUAAGACUUCAGUCAUACACAAUAUAGUAAUAUAAUACAGUAAUUUAGAUGUUUUUCUCAAAAAAAAAAGAACCGCAAUAUAUGUUAUUUUACAUAAAAAUGUAACAAAACAAAUAGCAUCUCUGUACGUCAGAACAGACGUGUUUAGGAAACACCAUGAAAAAGGUGAGCUUAUUUUUCCCUGAGAGGUGGGAGGGGGGAGCGGCAGGGCUGCGACCUGCCCCUGCAACAGUCGUGGCCCUCCAGCCGCAGGGGCCAGGGAGCAGCUCGGAGCCCCGCCUCACGGCUCCACAGGAGCAGGGGAUGGCCGCAGCCAGAAAAUAGACAAUCAAAUGGCUAUUGUUCAACCUGGAGAUGUUCCAAGAUUAGAAAGGGAGAUAAGAAAAUAAGUGUUUGCAGCUGUUGUUUAGACUCUGGGCACAUCCUGGACACAGUACAGCCUCGGAGAAACAUUACUCUGUGGAGCUGCUACAGAAGAAUUCAAUCACCAAGAAUUGUGGCAAAAACAGUCAUUACCACAACUGCAAACCUACCUUCCAUGUGUGGCAAAUGCACCGCAAUGUGGUGAUGGGAAUACAUGCAAGAAAGCUGGUACUAUUCCAUGCUGGGGAAAAUGGAAGGUCUGACUGUGUCACACAUUGUUGACUAUCUCAAAAGGUACAGUUUCUUAAUGAGGAUUUCAUUUCCUCACCAUGUUUUCCACAUCUGUUCUUGGAGACGGUUUUCAAGAUCUAAUUUUUGAUUUUCAAGUUCAGAAACUUGCUGUUUAAGAUCUGGAAUCACCUUUUAGAGAAAAAGGACAUUUGCGUAUUUCAGCAUGUUCAUUUUGAAACAUCUGUAAUUGUACCUAUGACAUCAGAAGACCUUCAGCUGCAAAUAGGGAAAAAGCCUGUAUGGAUGUGCAAUCUUAGAUGGCCACAACUGUUUGAACCUUGUGAAUUCAAGGACAUGACUUCAAGAUUUUGAGGGCUUUGUGACACAAACUCUUUUGGAUUGAACUGCUAAGUAACAAUCACAGCUUGGAGUUAUGAAAAAACAUUGAAGAACUGGACUAACCUCGUAGCUUUUUUCAAGCCCUCAUAAGCAAACCACAAUUCUCCAUCCUCAUUUAAGUGUUCCAAAUCCUCCGUAGACAGUCUAGAAUACAAGGCAGUAUUGUUAGUGUGCAGUCGCUGAACUCUGUAUGAAAGCUGGAUAUUUGAUACAAACCGCCGAAUAUUCUGAAAUCUGCGCCUGGCAAGCCAUGCACGGGCAUAUUUCUGAAGGAUCACAGCUUUGUGUUCUUCAAGCAUCUUUAAAAUAAAACAUUAACAUAUGUCUGUAA